rnacentral:rRNA from 1 species
AGAACGAACGCUGGCGGCACGCCUAACACAUGCAAGUCGAGCGCCCAGCAAUGGGAGCGGCGGACGGGUGAGGAACACGUGGGAACAUGCCUUUCGGUUCGGCACAACUGCGGGAAACUUGAGCUAAUACCGAAUACGCCCUUACGGGGAAAGAUUUAUUGCCGAAGGAACGGCCCGCGUCCGAUUAGCUAGUUGGUGAGGUAAUGGCUCACCAAGGCUACGAUCGGUAGCUGGUCUGAGAGGAUGACCAGCAUCACUGGGACUGAGACACGGCCCAGACUCCUACGGGAGGCAGCAGUGGGGAAUAUUGGACAAUGGGCGCAAGCCUGAUCCAGCCAUGCCGCGUGGAUGAUGAAGGCCUUAGGGUUGUAAAGUCCUUUUAACGGGAAGUAUAAUGACGGUACCCGUAGAAUAAGCCCGGCUAACUUCGUGCCAGCAGCCGC